UAGGGAAUCUUCGGCAAUGGACGAAAGUCUGACCGAGCAACGCCGCGUGAGUGAAGAAGGUUUUCGGAUCGUAAAACUCUGUUGGUAGAGAAGAACGUGUGUGAGAGUGGAAAGUUCACACAGUGACGGUAACUUACCAGAAAGGGACGGCUAACUACGUGCCAG
rnacentral:rRNA from 1 species